rnacentral:misc_RNA from 1 species
UCCCCGUUAGCCGGGGCAGUCCCCCUAGAGUUCCCGGCAUUACCCGCUGGCAACAUAGGACAAGGGUUGCGCUCGUUGCGGGACUUAACCCAACAUCUCACGACACGAGCUGACGACAACCAUGCACCACCUGUCACUCUGUCCCCCGAAGGGGAACGUCCUAUCUCUAGGAGUGUCAGAGGAUGACAAGACCUGGUAAGGUUCUUCGCGUUGCUUCGAAUUAAACCACAUGCUCCACCGCUUGUGCGGGCCCCCGUCAAUUCCUUUGAGUUUCAGUCUUGCGACCGUACUCCCCAGGCGGAGUGCUUAAUGCGUUAGCUGCAGCACUAAAGGGCGGAAACCCUCUAACACUUAGCACUCAUCGUUUACGGCGUGGACUAC